UUCUAUUGGUCUCUAGGAGUUUACUCUCCCAUUUCAAAUCAACCUAUCUAAGAGCUUGUGUAUCCCAAAGUGAGGAGUAGGUUGUGAGUUUUAAUUUAGGGUCUAUAUAAACAAUAAAAACUACCUAUUGUGUCUAUAGGCUCGUAACUAAGCAUAGACGCAAUAACACGGGCUAAGGGUAGUUUCGUCAUUUCUUUAAAAAGCCCCUAAAAGUAAGUUUUAAACAAUAUUAAGGCCUAAGGCAUAAAUGAAUGAUGAAAAUAUAAGUAAAAUGACAAAGAAAAUAAAAAUGAUGAUGAUUCCCAAGGUAGGGGCAAAAUGGUCAUUUUUCACCUCAGGUCAAAAUUUUUAAGUUUUGUGAACCCGAGCAUUUCUAGACCAUUAUGGACUUGUUUCGGUAUUAAAAUAAUGGAAAGAUUGCAUAAAGGGUUGAAGGAGAACAAGUUAACUUGUGAGGGCAUUUUGGUAAUUUAAGUGGAGUGGAUAAGCUUAGGCUAUAAAUAUCUCUUUCUUCCAGUAGCUUCUUCUCCCAUUUUCCAGCAGCUUCUUUUUCUUCUUUUGUCACGACCCG
rnacentral:lncRNA from 1 species